rnacentral:rRNA from 1 species
GAUGAACGCUGGCGGCGUGCCUAAUACAUGCAAGUAGAACGCUGAAGGAGGAGCUUGCUCUUCUGGAUGAGUUGCGAACGGGUGAGUAACGCGUAGGUAACCUGCCUGGUAGCGGGGGAUAACUAUUGGAAACGAUAGCUAAUACCGCAUGACAACAGUUAUUGCAUGAUAACUGUUUAAAAGGGGCAACUGCUCCACUACCAGAUGGACCUGCGUUGUAUUAGCUAGUUGGUGAGGUAACGGCUCACCAAGGCGACGAUACAUAGCCGACCUGAGAGGGGGGUCGGCCACACUGGGACUGGGACACGGCCCAGACUCCUACGGGAGGCAGCCGUAGGGAAUCUUCGGCAAUGGACGGAAGUCUGACCGAGCAACGCCGCGUGAGUGAAGAAGGUUUUCGGAUCGUAAAGCUCUGUUGUAAGAGAAGAACGAGUGUGAGAGUGGAAAGUUCACACUGUGACGGUAUCUUACCAGAAAGGGACGGCUAACUACGUG